GUGCUCUCUUCGGAAACACAUAUACUAAAAACGGAACAAUACAGAGAAGAUUAGCAUGGCUCCUGGACAAGGAUGACACACAACUUCGUGAAGCGUUCCAUAUUUUU